rnacentral:rRNA from 1 species
AUGUAUCAGAAUUUCCACAAGGUUCACAAAGGUGAGCAACUGAAGAACAAUUUGUGGGCAAUUGCCAGGGCUACAAACAACCCUACAUACACUAGAGCAAUGCAAAAGAUGGAACAAGACAACACUGAUGCAUACAAAUGGUGUGAAAAAUGGCCACCCAGAACCUGGAUUAAAGCAUUUUUCAACCCAUUUCCAAAGUGUGACAUUCUACUAAAUAACAUGUCUGAAGUUUUCAACAGUUGGAUAUUGGAAUCUAGAGAACUACCAAUUAAGUCCAUGUUGGACAGCAUCACUGACAAGAUCACAACUAGGAUGUACAACAAGCAAAAGGAGGUGGCCACUGAUAGAAAAUGGGGUAAAAGAUUGUGCCCAAAAAUAUAG